rnacentral:snRNA from 1 species
AUCACUUCUCGGCCUUUUGGCUAAGAUCAAGUGUAGUAUCUGUUGUUAUUAGCAUAAUAUUGUAUAUUCAACCAAUAGUCAAUAGAAGGUUGGUUGUAUCUGAUAUGAACCAACAUUGAGUUAAAAAUGGACCUUUUUUUGAGUAUUUUUAAAAAGCUAAUUGGCCGGGCGCGGUGGCUCAAGCCUG